CAUUAUCACAAACUGACCCUGACCCUGAUCACCAUCAAAUCACCUUAAUCCAAUACAUGAUCCUAACCCUGAUGGAUCGAUUCUUCGCUGCCAUUUGUAAAUCGUUGUCCUCUUUCACCUUUAUCCAAUACAUGCAUUAACUUAAAAUGCAAUCUAAUCCAUUCGUAGUUGCAUUCCCACGUAAGUCAUACCAAACAUCCCAAAUCCAUUCGAACUGUACUUCUAAGUUGGAAAUAUGAUUUGCCUCAUCACUUAUCUUCAAACAACCAGCCGGAUACAACUAAUAUUAGGCUUAGAUAAUCUAAUACAUAUUAAGGGAUAAUAUUAUGAUUAAAACCACAAUAUUAUUUCUCAAUAAUAAUUGAAAAUAAUCUUAACCAUUUUGUCAUCCAACGGUCUAAAACUCUACUCAAUCAAUGGCCUCGAUUACUCUGGCCGAUAGUGUAAAAUCGGGUCCAAACACUAGCAUAUCUUUGUUUUCUUUAUAUGAAAAUAAAUGCAUCAAAAAUGAAAUCUCUAGUAUAUCCGUUCUCAAUACAAUUAAAUAGGGAUGUUUUCAAGCAGGAAUAGGUAAACACCUAUUCCAAAUAUAAGAGUUCAAAAUAGAAUGUCUAAAUUUGUAAUGACACCAACAAGAAGUUUUCCUCUCGGUAAGCAUCCAAGGAUAUUUGUGAGUAAGUAAAUAUAUACUUGUAAACAAAAAAAAAAAAAAAAAAACUCUAAACUUUAGAUUUAUUAUCUAUUAGCCUUCUUUUUCUUGUGAUUGUAUAUUUUCUGUUAUGUUACCUAUUAGUCUACCUAUGGAACUAGAUCUGUCAUUCAUGUUGUGUUUCUUGUGUUCGUUUUGUAUUCGUAACAUAUCUGAUAUCUUAAAGGGUCCAUUGUUAACAUUGGUUAAAAUGAACGAGUAGCAUGACUCGGCCCGAACUCAACACAUUAAUAUUAACAAAUAAUAUGACCAAACCCGUUAAGAAAAUAUAUUUAAAUCAAUAAAUAAUCAAAUAAAAACGUAAUACUAAAAAGUAAGUACGAUCAAAGAAUCUUACGGUAAAGAUUUAAUCUUUCAUAAGUGAGAAUAAAUCCUAUGGCUAUUGUUGUAUAGAGGUUUUUUAAUAUUUUUUAAUUAAUGUAGAAGUGUGGAAAAUAUUAAAAAAAACAUAUACAAACGCUCGUAAUGACAAGCUCUUCAACUUUUGUGAAGAGGUCAACUCCGAAAUUUACCACCAUAAUUGCAUAAACGAUUGAUUUAAUUUAAUUGUUGAUUGUCGUUAUGUUUAAGUUCCAUUCUUCUCAUCAAAUUUCGUUUUUAUUUUAUAUUUUCGUUUUUUGAACAUGAUUUUUUUAGUGAAUCUAGAAAGAUGAACGGUUUGGAUUGUUGAUAUCAUUUCAGAUUUUUACCGUUAGUGAAUAUUGCUUGAAGUUUUUAAGUCUCUAGAACCUAUCUAACAUCGACUCAUAUUUCACUUAACUGUAAACAUCGUAAAGUCAUAUCAACGAUCCAAACUAUUCAUCUUUCUACAUCUGCUAAAAAAUCAUGUUUUUAAAAAAUAAAAAUAAAAAAAAUCUGGAAAACGAAAUCUGGUGAGAAGAAUAGAGUGUAAACGACAAUCAACGAUUAAAUAUAAAUCUACGCUUUAUGGAGUAUGAUGUCAAAUUUCGAAGUUGACCUAUUCAUAAAAGUUGUACAACAUGUCAUUAUGAGUCAUUGUAUAUAUAUAAAUUGUUUUUUACAUUUUUGACACUUCUACAUUACUUAUUAUGAGUUUUUAUUAAUUUUGUACUUAAACAAUGAUGUAACCAUCGUCUAAGCAUAAAUGAUGCAAUCACGAGCGUUAGUAUAUUCUUUUCACAUUUUUAUUUGUUUUUGUAA
rnacentral:lncRNA from 1 species